UGCCUCUACGCUUUAAUUAAGCCUGCUGCCCAAUUUUAACUCAUUAGUAAUUCAUUAAGAGAACAGCCCCGUGCUGGCUGGUGGAAGGCACCGCAGACCGACUGUGCACGAAGUCCACACGCGCGCAGACCGCCGCCGGCCCUCGCCUUGCGCGUGAGCGAGUCAGGUUUGCGACCCAGUGACGUUGUUCUAGUCCAACAAGACUAGAACCCCCGCUCUGCCAGACACACUGGGCUUUGCAGGUCCAAGCUCCCGGGAUAACCUUUCCCGGCUUGAGUCCCUCGGGCUUGAAACGUGGUUUAGCAAACCUGUUGGGUGGGGUGGCGGUGGUGUGGGGCCGGGCCACAGUUGAGAAGCAAAUCCCCGGGUUAAAAGAGCUUCUCUUGCCUAAGGCCAGAUCCAGUCGCCCGGUGUGGCACGUAUCCACCCUCCUUCCCUGGUUCUUCUUUCAUUUUGCGACAGUCUCAUGAAAAAUCUAAGUUCGGCCUUAGCUCUCAGCUCCGGCUACCCUCUGCACGCUCCCCGACCCUGUACCCGGGAGAAGCUUCUGUUCAAAUGAGACUGAUUUUUUGCGUGGUGGGGAGGUGAGGGGAGAAGAAAACUGUUGGCUAGAGAGGUGAAUAUCUGAAGGGAGAGCACAGACCUCUGCUUUUCCCUCUUUCUCACUCUUCUCCUCUGCUUGGGAGCGGGGCUGGGGUUAAGGCCACAUCUGUAACUAUGUCAGUUGAGACCAGCCCUCUGUCAGGAAAAGAAAUGGAGACAGCGUUGCAGAGCGAAUCACUCAUGGUCUUUCCAUUUCAUAAUCGAGGGAGACAGCGCAAGCAGGUCAGACUCGACCGGUUCGCUUCCUCCCACCCCUAACUUGGCGGGAUCUGAGAAGAAAGUUCCCGCAUGUUUGAGCGUCCUAGGGCUUGGAUAGGACAGACCUCGUAGGUCCCCAAGCUCCAGCUUGGAGUUCCCAAGGAGAAGGGAAGCGCUAGUGCUAUGGAGCGAGGUUUUGGUGAAGAAAAGGGCCUCGCGCCCCCUUAGUGCCGUCGCUCUGGGGAAUCUUCUUUCGCUGGGAGGAUGAAUGGGGCGCUCGCCGCGGCUCAUGGCGCCCCCUAGGAGCGGCAGGAAACUUCUCCUGCAGGGCAGCGCGGGCCGGGCUCCGCCUCCGGAAGGCGGGCGGGGAGGGUAGUUGCUGGGGGUCCCUAGGCCGGGCCCCAGGACAUCUAGGACAUGCCGGGGGCUGUUUGCUACGGCUUCAUCCCGGAGCUCCUGCUCGGGGUUGCCGGCUGCCUCUGCUGGCGUCCCUCUUCCCUUCCUUUGCGUAAGCGGCAACUCCUCCAGGAAGCCAGGGGAAGGACGGGAUUUCCUCUCCACGUAGGGUAGUAGAUCGCAUAGCCCAGCCGGAUCGCCCAGCAGGAGUGCAGGGCGCGCGUCGGGGUGUCUCCGGCUUGUGGGUGUGCGGUUCGAAACCUUAGCUGGGGUGGGGGAAGGGAUGUCUUUAACCUUCUGUCUACCGUCCCCCUCUUCCCUCUCUCAGCCUAGAGGCAGGGGAUGCUGCGGAAUCAGACUGGGUGCACCAAGGCGGAGGGCCAUGCCGGGCUUCGCCCUUCCUGGGUGUCCCGGAGUCCGUUCCGGAGAAACCCUGGCAUUGCCAGAACUGGGUCCCCGCACUCACUCCUCCAUAAUUCGCGGCGGAUCAGCGGGAGGAGGGCAGAGGGCGGGGGCGAGGCAGCUUCCUGGCGGGUGUGGCGCAAAGUGUGCGGGGUGUGGCGCAAAGUGCGCGGACCCGGGUCCUGGACCGAAGAUUUAGCCCAGGGUUUCGUGUGUGUUGCUCCCUGUUGCUUUCUACGGGGUCUGCGCUGGCCUCCUCCUCGGGCGACUGGGCCCUGAGGCAACAGCGCCUUCUCGAGCCCCGAGGAUUGACCGCCCCGAGCCUGCUUGGAGCAGGGCCUCUCUCCAGCGCGGUGUGAUGAAAGAAAAAAACCAUUCUUCCAGGAGAGGCUCCUCCAAGCAAACUUCCCCUUACAUCUCUUACCAGAACUGGGUCACAUGCUCCCAUCUAAAACAACCACUGGCCAUUAGAAAUGGUGUUACCAUGCCUGUCUUGGACCAAUCACAUUUGAUCCUCUGAGGAUAGAGACAUGUUGCCACCUGAACAACUGUGGGGUGCUGUACUCCUGGCAAGCAGGGAGAAUGGCUGUGGCUAGGCAACUGACAGCAUCUACCACAAAUAUGUUACUCAGAAGAAGAAUCGAGGAUGGCCAUAAUUUUUAUUUAAAGAUUUCUAUUUUACAGAGGCAUAUCUGAUUAAGGGACAUUUAAACUUCCCUGUUAAACUUAUCAAGACAAAAAGACAAGGCAUCUUGCCACAUUUCUUAAAUAUUCUCUGCAGUCUCUCUUGACCUUUUCCCAGCUGUGCUGUAAACAUAAAGAUAAUAACAUAUCUGAAUAACAUUUUAUGGUGCACAGAUAAUUUUCACAUACAUUAUCCAUUUGACCCUCACCAUAACUGUGUGGGGUAGGUAAGGUACGAUUGUACUUUUCAUUAAUUUUUUUUUUUUUGAGACACAGUCUCGUUCUGUCACCCAGGCUAGAGUGCAGUGGUGCGAUCUGGGCUCACUGCAACCUCCACCUCCCAGGUUCAAGUGAUUCUCCUGCCUCAGCCUCCAAGUAGCUGGGAUUACAGGCAAGUGCCACCAUGCCUGGCUAGUUUUUGUAAUUUUUUAGUAGAGACAGGGUUUCACCAUGUUGGCCAGGCUGGUCUAGAACUCCUGACCUCAGGUGAUCCACGUGCCUCGGCCUCCCAAAGUGCUGGGGUUACAGGCAUGAGCCACUGCUCCUGGCCACUUUUCAUUAAUUUUUAUUGGACUUAGGAUUAGAAGGAUGAGCAAAUCCUACUACUUAGUGCGUGGAAUACUGGCAUCUAUUGUUUUUGCUUGGCUCCUCUCUUGUUUUAAUAAUUAACUAAUCGAUCCAUUCUCUUUUAUUGCCAUCUCCCACUCACACUUUUUCCUCCACAUAGGCAAUCAUUCUAAAUAUGUCCAAUGUUUAUCUUAUUUGUAUGCGUAUUUAUAAAGUGAAUAUUUUGUUUAGUGUGUAUGCAGUUUCGUUUGCAUAAAUUGUAAUAUUCUGUGAAUCUCAUUCUGUUUUGUACUUUUUUCAUUCUGCUCUGUUUUUAGAAGUGAUCCAUGUUGCUAUGUGUAUCUACUCCAUUGCCUUUAAAUGCUGCAUAAUACUCCACGGUGUUUGUCGAUCAUGUUUUACUCAUCUUUGCCCCCUAGUGGAAACCAUGAUGGCCUCCAACUCUGCACACAAAUAGUUUCAAACAAGAACCGCUGGUGAAAUGUGACUGCUGAUGGACCUGGGUGGGAAUUUCUCUGGGAUGCCGACUAAAAAGCAUGGUGGCUGGGUCAUAAAAUGCACACUUAAUUUGAAUAAGUGCCACCCAGUGGCUCUCCACAAAGCCUGCACUAGUCCAUUCUACUAGAAAUUAUUCACAUUUAACUGGAAACUGGGUCUUGGAGAUGUUAAGUAACUUGCUCAAGCUCACAUAAGGAGUAAAAGUGAAUUAGGACAUCCAGGACCCAAAUCCAGGCCUUGUAACUUCAGGUCAAUUUUAUUUUCCAGGGCACCACCCUCUAAGUCUCUGGAUCAUAAUAUGGAGCACUAAUAAAAAGAUUUCUUGAGGCUUUUGUUAUUUACAUAAUGAAUUUCAGAAAUGGCUUACUGGUGCUACUGGCAAGUUGCAGGCAGAAGAAAGAAUGAAAGCGAAUGGGCAUCUCAUGUUCUAUUCUCUGAUUCAACCUGUUUUGGGUCCCUUUUGACUGCUUUACCACAGUUGCUAUUACAUUAUUUUGGGAAGUAUUUAAAAAAGAAGAGAAAGUGCUGGAUAUCUGAACUCCUUUCCUCCAGUCUGCCAUGGGCCAAAAUGUAGUACCACCAUGCCUGACUAGAAAGUAAAAGAGGAAUCAUAGAAUCAGAUAGUGUUAUAACCAGAAUGGGCCUUACAGACCAUUUAGUCUAGUCCUCCCAUUUUAUAGAUGAGAAAAUGGAGGCCCAGAGAGAGGAAGACAGUUGCCUGAGGUCACACAGCUGGAAGGAGAGCAGGAUGGGCACCCAGGCUUUCUGAAAACCAGUCUCUUUGAUGCAGGUGAACCCCCACAUUGGGGCUCAGCUCAAGAGGGUUCUUAGCUUUGCUCAGGAAGGAAUUCAAGAGUGAGCUGACAGUUAAAGAAAGCAAGUUUUUAGAGCAAUAGUGUACAGCAAAAUGGCUGCUCCACAGACAGAGCAGGGCCAUCCCAUAGGCAGAGUAGCACUUGUGCAUUGCUGGCUAGCUCUAUUUAUAGCUGCUCCUAAUUAUAUGCUAAAUAAGCGGUGGGUUAUUCACAGAUUUUCUAGAAAAGGUGUGGGGAAUUUCCAGAACUGAUGGUUCCUUCCUCUUUAAACCAUGUAAGGUAACUUCUGGGUUUUGCCAUGACAUCAACUGUCAUGGUGCUGGUGGGAAGUGUUUUACAGCAUGCAAAUGUAUUAUAAUUCCUAGUCCUAACUGCUUUUGGCUGGUUCCUUUGCUACAUCCUGUUUUGAUCAGCAGUGUCAUGAAAACAAGUCCUGUUCAUCUCCUACCUCUCCUUGCCCUUUCCACUUUUCUGCACACAGCAACUUUCACCUGCGCACCCAGGAAUCCACACUUUAAGUCUUAACAACCUGAGGUGUUGUUGAGAAAAAACUACAAACAGUGGUGCGCUGGCAAAUCUUUAACAAUCACCUGGGGUGGGGUGGGGUGUGGAUAAACAAGCCUUAUUUGUAGCAUAUGGCCAAUUUCAAGCUGCCAAAGUGCUGUCACUGAACGUGAAGUAGUGGGAGCAGGGCAGCAGAGGGCCACCAAUCAGAGGCAUUUCCACCAAACAGAUGCAAUUGGCAUAAGUAACUGCAAGGGCACGGACAACCGCAAGGUCUGCUAAAAGGAUUAGGAAGUGAUGAGUUUUGAGUGUUUAUUACUUUUGGUUUUAGUGUAACUUAUUUGUAAGCUUACAUAAUUUAAUGUCUAAUAAGGGCAAUGUUUAACAAUCACUCAUGAAAUUCCUGAAAAUUGAACUGAUACGGUUUGGCUGUGUCCAAACCAAAUCUCAUCUCAAAUUGUAAUCUGAAUUAUAAUCUCCACGUGUUGGGGAGGUAUCUGGUGGGAGGUGAUUGGAUCGGGGAGGGGGGGAUUCCCCCACGAUGUUCUCAUGAUUGUGAAUGAGUUCUCACGAGAUCUGUUGGCUUUAUAAGUGGUGGUUUCCCCUGUUCUCGCUCUUUCCUGCUGCCUUGUGAGGAAGGUACUUGCUUCUCCUUUGCCUUGUGCCGUGAUUGUAAGUUUCCUGAGGCCUCCCCAACCAUGCAGAACUGUGAGUCAAUUAAACCUCUUUUCUUUAAAAAUUACCCAGUCUUGAACAGUUCUUUAUAGCAGUGUGAAAACGGACUAAUACGUGAAUACUCAGCUCUCCUGAGCUUAUGCGAGUCAGCCCCAAGACAACAUUGGCUAUAAAGGAAUGAAGCCAGCUUCUCGGUGUAGCAACCCGCCUUCCUAGUUUAUAAACUUGUCCUGAUUCUUCUGCAUACUCUUUGGUGGAAACAUAAAAUAUGAAUAUAGUGGAAAAGAGGGGCAAAAGAUAAAUGAGUUAUUCUGGAGAUAAACUUUCUGUGUAGUGGAAGUCUUAGCUCUGUAAGCUCCGAAGCUAUGAUGGUUUUAACUUUUAUUGAUGAACUUUGAAAAGAGUUGUGUUGCAUUCUUUCCUACCUCAUUACACGUGAGACAUUAUGGCUUAUUACUUUUUUAUGAAGAACCCAGGACAUGUUGAAGUGUGCAAAUCUAUUUUCCCUUGGAAUACAUGACCUCAAACUGCUAGGCUGUUGGGGCCUUUGGACUUGCUUUUUAGAGUUUUGCUUUUUAGAGUUUUUUUUCUUGCUCACUUUCCAGAAGCUCUGACUUCUUUUUACUGUCAGUGUGUCUGCCUCUAUCUUUUCCCUCCUCUUUCUAAUUGACUAGAGAACUAGACUUAUUAGAAUCAUUUAAAAAUGUCAGUAAUCUGUUGCAAUACAGGCCUAUUGAGAAAAACAUGUAAAUUUUAGUGCAUGGAUCUUGCGAUAUUUAUUUUGGAUGCUCAGAUACCUUUUGCAAUAACUUCUGGUUUUUGUAGAAUUUCUGGAGAGGUGAUAUUACUAGAUUACUGUGUUUCAGAUCAGUGAGUAUUGCUACAGUAAUGUUGUUAUAUAUAAUUAUAUACUAUAUCACCAUGCAUGAAUUCCAUUAUAAGAGGAAAAUUCAUCUCUGGGCCAGGAAAUAUGUCAUGUAAAAAGUAGAGCAGUCCUGGACUGUAUUUUGAGGAACCCAGUAACACUACUGGAACAUGAAGUGGUCCAUAUGGUGAACUUUGCAAAAUACAGUAAGACUUAAAUGGUCAAGUUUGGGGCAUGCCUCCUUGCUCUAAAAAUGGUGGUGCUUCGUCUCCUUAAACACAGACACAGGCAAUGGAUGGGGAAGGGAGAUCCAGUGAUUGAGAGUUUUCCCCUGCUGGAGGCAGGGAGGUCCCUCCACACAUCUGCCCAUCCUGGGAGUGCUGCUUGCUGGGGCUGAGAAAGGAAGUAGAUUGCACCUGGCAACCUGGCUCUGCCCUUCUCUGUGACAUUGGGACCACCAGAAAGGUUCUUGGUAUGAUUUGGAUUUGUGUCCCUGCCCAUAUUGAAUUGUAAUCCCCAGUGUUGGAGGAGGGGACUUGUGGGAGUUGAUUAGAUCAUGUGGGGUGGAUUUCCGCCUUGCUGUUCUUGUGAUAGUGAGUGACUUCUCAUAGAUCUGGUUGUUUGAAAGUGCGUAGCACCUCCCCUUUCUCUCUCUUCCUCCUGCUCCAGCCAUGUUAGACUUGCCUGCUUCCCUUUCACCUCCCACCAUGAUUGAAAGUUUCCUGAGGCCGCCUCCCCAAGCCAUGCAGCCUUGCAGAACUGUACAGCCUUGCAGAACUGUACAGCCUGCAGAACUGUGAGCCAAUUAAAC
rnacentral:lncRNA from 10 species